GAUAAACGCUGGCGGCGCACAUAAGACAUGCAAGUUGAACGGACUUAAUCGAAAUAUUUAUAUUUUGAAGCGGUUAGUGGCGGACUGGUGAGUAACGCGUAAGGAACCUGCCUAUUAGAGGGGAAUAACAGUGAGAAAUCAUUGCUAAUACCGCAUAUGCCAUAGAUAUCACAUGAUAACAGUGGGAAAGGAGCAAUCCGCUAAUAGAUGGCCUUGCGUCUGAUUAGAUAGUUGGUGGGGUAACGGCCUACCAAGUCGACGAUCAGUAGCCGGACUGAGAGGUUGAACGGCCACAUUGGGACUGAGGCACGGCCCAGAAUCCUACGGGAGGCAGCAGUCGGGAAUAUUGCGCAAUGGAGGAAACUCUGACGCAGUGACGCAGCGUAUAGGAAGAAGGUUUUCGGAUUGUAAACUAUUGUCGUUAGGGAAGAGAAAGGACAGUACCUAAGGAGGAAGCUCCGGCUAACUACGUG
rnacentral:rRNA from 1 species